CACGUAGGGCGCAAGCGUUGUCCGGAAUUAUUGGGCGUAAAGAGCUCGUAGGCGGUCUGUUGCGCCUCGCUGUGAAAAACUCGGGGCUUAACCCCGAGCCUGCAGUGGAUACGGGCAGACUAGAGGUAGGUAGGGGAGAAUGGAAUUCCCGGUGUAGCGGUGAAAUGCGCAGAUAUCGGGAGGAACACCGGUGGCGAAGGCGGUUCUCUGGGCCGAUACUGACGCUGAGGAGCGAAAGCGUGGGGAGCGAACAGG
rnacentral:rRNA from 1 species